CGUACGACUAUAGUCGUACAUGUACGACUAUUUCGUAGUUCGGUACGACGUACGUCUGAACAUAGGGUCGUACACCUAUUUGUACGACUAUUUUGAAAUUUUGGUGGUUAAGAUGUUAUGGUUAAAUAUUUUGGUCUCAUAAACACAAUAUAUGCAGUUCUAAAGAAGCCAAAAUCGAAAAUUGUAAUAAAAUCGAUCUGAAUGUUAAUCCAAUUCAAGAAACAAUCGAUAGCUUCAUUAUAAUAGUUGAGAGGAAUGACAACAGAAUGCACAUAAAUCAAUAUCAUAUUGGAUACAUUAUUAAAAUAUGUGUGAUAUUGUGUAAGUACCUAUCAUCUUUGGAACAGUACGAACAAUUUAAGAAUUUAACAGUUGUUUACAUUGUUUGGUAAAUAUGAGUGACGCCGAAGAUGGGCUAAGUUCGCCACCAAAAAAGGUUGCUGCGCAAGAAAUAAGAAAAAGAUAUAAUAUGAAUGAUCCGGUUCUGUCGAAACUUAGCUACCUGCAACCUAAAGCAGCUCUUUCACCAGUAUUCAGGGUUAACUGCCCUUCCCUUCUUCCACUAGUAAAAGUAGUCCCAAGAAUUGUUUCUUGUGAUGAUGAUGCAAGUUUACAGCGUCUUGAUGAUCAGUGGAGGGAGCUUCCAUUUUCAAGGGCAAGGCUUCCAGAAGAUAUUGAUGAUGUAAACAGUCCUGACAUUUUCUGGAAUAUGCUUCUGAAACCAAGCUGUGACACACAAGAAGCUCAUUUCAAAGAAUUGGCUACAUUUGCACUUCAUGUGCUUAGUCUCCCGCACUCUAAUGCAGACUGUGAAAGAGUCUUCAGUCAGGUAUGAAAAUAUAUGCAUCAUAAAUAACUAUUUUGUUACCUACUGUUCUUAUUUAUUUUAUAAUUUGAGUUUUUGUUAACUGCAAUAUUGUUAGAAAAAUAUAGCAUGUGUAUUUACUUUACAGGUAAAUCUAGUGAAAACCAAAGUACGAAAUCGCCUCCUUCCAAAAACAGUGAACGGAGCUUUGCUUGCUUCCGAGUGUGUGAAGGAAAGUGGUACCUGUGCAUUGUUUCGCCCUACAGCUGAAAUGUUAUCGCGCAUGACAUCAGCAAACUUGUAUGCAUCCAGUGCACCAGAAAACGAUAUUGUGGAUAUUCUCUUCGAAAAGGAUGACUGAGUUGUUAAGAAAUUUUUUUUUUUUUUUUUUAACUUAACAUGUGUUAAUUUUGGUGUAGUUUUUUUCCUUAGUGUAAUUGUUUCCAUGUAAUUUUUUUCCUUCACGAUUGUCAUGCCAAUAAAAUACUACCAAAAUGAAUAGCAAAAAAAUCGCCGGAUAAAAUAAAAGUUGGUACUCAUUAACGUUUUAUUUUAAAAAUUAUAGUAUGUACGACUAUUUGCUCCAAUGUACGACUAUUUCUAGUCUUCGGUACGACUUUUGGAAUGUUGCAAUCUGGCAACACUGAUCAGAUUCGACAGAAUUCCGGAUUGGUAUGGUUCUGGCGUACAGGAUAGUUACUGGAAUUUCACCUAAAAUAUUUCGACACUUUUCCGUGUGCUAUUUGUAGAUGCUAACAACAAACAGAAUAGUCACUACGCCGUUUCGACACAAUUCCGUCAUUCCUACGAUUGUGCGGAAUAUAUACUAUUCCGUGUCGGUACAAAUCCGGGCCACCUUUCAGAAUUUAUUUCGUAGACGGAAUAGUCACUAUUCCGUUCGAUGAAAAUCCGUUCUUCUACUUAGGGAAUCCGGAAUAGUCACUAUGCCGGGUCGAAACAAUUCAGUCGCCCCCGAUGACGCCCGAAGUGCAAACACAGAGAAGAGAAGAUAACAAAAAAAAAUAAAAAAAAAAAUAAAUAAUUAUAAUUACUUUUAGGCCAAGUGAUGUUUAGGAGAUAUGACUUUUAGGGCAAAUGACUUUUAGGUCAAAUGACUUUUAGGAGAUAUGACUUUUAGGGCAACUGACGUUUAGGCCAAGUGACUUUUAGGUCAAGUGAUGUUUAGGAGAUAUGACUUUUAGGUCGUGAUGUUUAGGAGAUAUGACUUCUAGGUCGUGACAUUUAGGAGAUAUGACUUUUAGGGCAAAUGACUUUUAGGUCAAAUGACUGAAGGAUUAAUUUAAAAUUUUAGGUCAAGUGACGUUUAGGAGAUAUGACUUUUAGGGCAAAUGACUUUUAGGUCAAAUGACUGAAGGAUUAAUUUAAAAUUUUAGGUCAAGUGACGUUUAGGAGAUAUGACUUUUAGGUCAAAUGACGCGCACCCUGGUCAUUUACCUGUUGAGUGCAGACAGUGCCGUGGUCAGACACUGGCACCAUUAAGGCUCUUGUUUGCUUUGAUAUUCAGGCCUUGAUGUGUGUGAUUUCUCUAAAAUAUUGUUUCCACUAAAAUUGCAUUUGGUAUGUUUUCAAAGCUAAUGCCAAAAAAGGAGGCACGGAAAUACGGAAGCCUGAAAUUUCAUUCAUAUAGUUGUCUUGCAUCCCUCUCCUUUUAAGGAAAAAAAAUACAUAAAACACCUAUGACAAUGAAAUUGUGAAACUGAUGUCGACCAGGGCUACGCCCGAUGUGCCUCACGCCACUGCCGACCCCCUCUCCUCCCACCGCCACCCUCUGUUUCAUGCCUCCUGCCAAUAACUGCGUGUGUGAGUGUGUUUGGUCGCACUGCGCGAACCCUUUCAGCGCCCACCCUAACUGGAGCAGUGGAGACUGUAUGUUAUUUAAAUAAUGUAAUUCUUAAACAUCUGUAAUAUCUAAUCGUUAAAUCUUAAUUAACUUGUAAUUUUUAAAAGGUUUAAAUAGUUAUAUUUAACUGUCAUGUCAAUGUACUAACGGUAAGUUUAGCACUUCCUGCGGCCAUGACACCCGGUAGCUGGGUCCACGUGCCCAUCCACGUGGAGGCGCCCGAGGUAUACACGUACGCCUAUUGAAACACCCCGCCCCCCAUGACAAAAACAAAUCACAAAAUUGAUUGUCAUUUAUUUAGACUUAAGUCUGUACCAAAACUAUGGAUCAAACCGAUACAAUUUUUUUCUCUCUCUUAGUUAAUAGGGAUGUGCGAAGACUCUUUUUUUCUUUUGCAAUUUGAAUCGAAAUUGAAUAUCAUUUAAAUAUCUUUUACAUUAAAAAUAACCAACUGCCACUUUUAGUAAACAAAAAGCACAAAUUUGAAAACCAAGAAUAACUUACAUAAUAUCAAGAUUAACUUAUUAAGUAUGUUCUUUUAAAAUGUAAACACGUUACGAUGAGGUAUUACAUAUAACUAUGAAAGGUUUUUAAAUAUCUUUAAAACAACAAGUUCUGAAACACUAUGUCAAUAAUUGUUUUUCCCUACUCUUCUGUUAAAUUUUUAAGACUAUAACACCCAAUAAACUGUCGUACUAGGGAUGUAAGGGAACGAACAAAUGAAAUGUCGGAGUGGGCGCCACCACGUGAUGUGGGCACGUGGACCCGGUGGAGACACUCUUCAGAGCGUGACGUGACCCGUGUAGGGCUAGGCCCGGUUCCCUUAGCACGCGAUAUCGCUCCAGUGGGCUCUUAAGGCGUCCCACACGCCUCGAGGUUCAGGAGCAGGGACACGUGGUCACUCGACUAAAAAUCACAAGUUCGACGUACUCCUUUUAUUUCAGCUACGUUACAACACGUCUCCAAUUGCGCUACACCUACAUACACUCAAUGAAACUGUUAAUAACGCCAACAGCGGGAGAGAAUCAGUUUACAGGCUGACCAGGUCACCUCGUGAGUUUAGGACACGGUUUGUGGUUAAAUGUUCGAAAUGAACUUAAAUUUUUUUUUUAAACGAGUCGGUCACCCGGAGUAGGCCUCGCAGAUACAAAAAGGUUUUAAGAAUUAUGAAAAGUCCAGCGGAUGUUAAGAGAUUAGUUGAUUGAAAAAAAAAUAUGAAGUGCGCGGUGAUCACCAAGCAUCCUACCCCGGGUGACAAACGGAAGCGACUGCAGAGGCCAGGGCAGCAUGGCGGCCGGAAGGCACUGUAUUUACCGUUAGUCUCUCCUGUUAUUUAUUACCACUUAUUUAACUAAAACAAAUACACUAAAAAUUCUAUAAUAAAAUUAUACCAAGGUUUCCUUAAUUAUUUAUGUUGAGUAUUAAUUAUUUUAAUUGGGAUUAUGGUUCAAACUGGUUGCGGGUAGUUCCAUUUCCCGCCGCGUGGGGUGCUGCGCCGUCCUUACCAACUAGCACUGCAAACAUAAUCCUGAGGGAAUACUAUUUAAAGAAAAGACAGGUAGCAAUUACGUAACCAUUAAAAUUGAAUGAUAAAAUAAAAGGGGUCUUGGCACUGACACUAAUCUUGCCUCUUGUUGGCAACCUCACACGCACACACACACACCUGCACACGAGGUGGGAGGUUUGAAAUAGAGGGUGUUGGUGGGAGGAGCGGGGUGGCGACGGCGUGAGGCACAUCGGGCUUAGGGGGGGCGUAGCCCCGGUCGACGUCUAAACAUUAAAAGUCUUAAAAUAUAUGACGAAUUUUACUGUUUCACAUUGUAAAAGUCCUGCUUAAAUUAACAAAACAAUUUAAAGACAGCUGUGACAAUUGCAUAAGGUGGCAUCCAGUCACUGCUAUUUAAUAUCUACUGACAAACGUGCUGACAGUUCUGAUCUAUUUUUGAUGGCAUGCAUGGUUACCUUCCAUUAGAAACUGCAGUUAGCAGACCUCACGGAGUGGAUGUUUUUACAACUCAAACAAUGGCCUGAAAUCCAGCUUUUAACUAUUCAGCUCUGGGAAGAAAAAAAAAAACUUGAAUUUUUUUUUUAAAAAUUUUAUGAAGAUGGAUUUCAAAGAAAUUACUGUUCUAUUUGACUUCAACUUUCCGAAGCUCGCACACCCCUAUGAGUUAAUUAUUCAUUUUUACCUUGCUACAUUUUUCACACACACGCAUGCCAAUUUUAUUGUAUUGUCCCUAAUAAUUCUGUAAUACACAUGCUUAUUAAAUAUUAUUUUAUAGUUAAAAUGCAUCAUGUCAGUAAAAAUUACACUACAUUGGGGGAAUAAGUAUGUGUUAUAAACCAUUUUAUUUUUGUAUUUCUUAACACAAUGUCUUUGUGAAAAAAUGGACUAAAUAAGAUUAAAAACAAUAACAUAUAAAUCUCCAAUUUUAAAAACUAAACUGGCCUAAAAGUAAAACCAUAAAAUCUGGUCUCUAUUCCAAGUGUAUAAUAAUGGUAUUUACUUUGAAAUUUUAAAUUAAAAUAAUUUUUUUAUGGGUGUUUGAUAGUGGUCUGAAAGUAUUUAAAAAUAAUAUUUUAAAUUAUUUGUUACCAAUAGAUGCAUUCACAAACAAUUUUAAUGAAAAUAGUUUAACAUGUAUGAAGCCAUGAAGAUUUAUUUACAAAUAUGUACUUGUAUUUUGCAACAAAAACAUACAUGGUUUUUAUAUUUAACAAGAUAUCUGUGAUAAUGAUUUAAAAGAACUCUAUUUUUAUGUACAUAUCAGUUUCAUCAACAAAAUUAUAUUCUAACUUAAAAUUUUUUACUGUUUUACAAAAAUACAUUAGGUGUUUUAUAUUCUUACAUUUUACACCAUUCUAUAAUGGUUAUAUAGGGAUGUAUCUCUUUUCAUUUUACUGCAUUUAGCAUAAUUUUUUUCUUGGAUUCUUGUGAAGUUUUUAAACAUAAGUUUCAAACAAUGUUCAAAUUCUAUUUUAAAUAUUCAUGAAUAAUUUGAUUUUCUAUUUAAAAUUUGAUCCUAAUUAAAAAAACAAAAACAGGAUUAGUAUAAACUUAGUGCUAGAUUACCAAGUAGCAAAUAUUCUGUAGUUUAAAUUAAAUCACAUAAUUUUUUAAUAUGUACAAUGAUUCACAAGAAAAUCAUUUCACAUUUUUGUUUUGCUAUUAAAAAGCAUUUGCACAACACUUAUACUGGUUAUACAUAUGAACCUGUAUGUAACAUACAUUGAUGAGGGGGAAAAAAAUUGUAUCAUUGUAUUUGAAGAUUUACCAAUAAAAUAAUCACACUGCAAAACACAUAAAUUGAACUAAAAUGUUAUUUUUAUUAAAAUUUUUUUUUUCAUAAUUUACAAGUCCAUAACAUUUAAACAAUUGCGAAAUCAACCAUCUUAACGUUCAUAACACACUUUAGAAGCAAAUUCAUUUAUUCCAUUUUUAUAACAAUAUGGGGAACUCAUUCUGGAAAGAAAAAUCUUCCACAAACCAAAAUACACAGGAUUGUGAAUGAUUAACCUUGUACUGCGAUUGUGUUCCGCAAUAAGAACCAAGUUGUAACAAGAAGCAGUGCUGCCAUAACAAUAUUUUUCUAACCAUAGAAAUCUUACUAGAACAUAACAUUAGAGCUGGGAAAACAUCUCAAAAAUAAAACUUUUGCACAAGUUAAAGUUUUUUUUAGCUAUUUUGAUAAGCAUCAAUAACUAAAAAUUUAUCAAGACUAUCUGUAAAAUUAAUAUCGCACCCAAAUCUACUAGUUUAUACACAUGAUUAUACAGCACAUUAACAUAUAACAAACUGAAAAAAAAAAAAAAAAAACUAUGUACAAUAUAAAUACAGGCUGGAAAAAUUAGCACUUAUUAUUUUGUAUUUUAGCAUUUACUGUGGUAAAAUUAUUUUUAAUGCAACUUAUUUGAAACUUAAUAUUUACCUUAUAAAUGAUUGUAAACUAAUAUUCAUAUAUAAAAAUAUCUCCACAUAACAAACUAGUUCAGUUUUGCAAUAAAAAAAAAUUUCCCAUGAUUUUCUAGAUUAAAGACAAAACAAAAUUUUAAUGUUUAUUUUACUUACAAAUUGGUAAAUGCAAUAUGCUAGCAAACAAUAAGUUGCAGGGUUAUUCAUAGAAUAAUACACAAUUCAACUGGAUUAAUUAAACGAGGCUUAUAUUUUGAAGUUAUUUAGGAUACACGUAACUUGGCUGUAUCACAGAUCGUACUGGUCAUGAAAACUAGUAUAGAGAACAAUUACCAGAGAAUCACCACGUGGUUCAAUUCUAACAUUUGGAAGAAUGCCAAACACCUAAGUUCUGCUGUCAUUUACUUCAUAGUCUCAUAUUUUAUUAGCCAAUCAUACACCUUUCAUCUGUGUGAUCAGAAAAUCUGUGGCAAAGAUGGUGGAUGGUCUGUGUAUUAAGAUUAACUGAAGUGUUGAUAAAUCUUAAGUGACAAAUAUAAAUAAUAUUUAAUUAUACAUGUUUAUGUGUCCUAAACUAACUGCAAAAUAUGAAAUUAAUAUAAGUUGACUCAGGUCACUGGAAGUCUACAAUACUGGGCUGUUCAUUUCUAAGUGUGAAAUGAUACAUUUCGCUAAAAUGAAGAAUUAAUUUAGAAAAUGAGCAAAAAUAUAAUUUAUGUUGGUAAUUAGCAAAAAAAAAUCCAUACCAAGAUGCUAAUUAAUUUUUCCAGCCCAUAACCAUAAAUUUUCAUAUACUUUCACAACCUAUUUUGAAGUAUAACCAACAAAAAGAAAACAUUCUAACUGUUGCCCAAGCUUAGGUUCACCUGCUUUCGGAAAGAUACUCUUUAACACACAAAGGGGGAUAUCUAUAAAGUCGGUUUACGGACGAUAAUUUUACGUAAUAACGUCAUAAGAAAACAUUGAUGAAAAAUUGCAUACUUUUUAAUUUUCAAAUAUUAUUUACAGUUUUUGCAAAUUUAAUUUAAAAUGAUGAAAUUGGACAAAUAAAUCAAAUUUUUUAAAUUGCUGCUUUUAACAAGCACGCCUUAACCUAUUUGAUAUUAUAGAAAAUUUUCUCGCACGGUGGUUGGGUCGGUUCUUGCACACUCAGCUCAGGCGGAACGUGACAAUGAGUCAUGCUUUCCCGUGCGUGCAGCCGGCGUUCAUCACGUCAAAAACUAAGCUCUAAAUGUUAAAUAGAGGUUUUCCUAAAACAGUUUACAUUGUAGAUAGGAUCCUCAUGAAGCUAGAGUGGCCAGGGACAUGUGUUUGAUCCCGACAUUAGCACUGCUGAGAUGUACCAGCUCCGAGUGGUUUGGGAGUCCAGCGACAUUUUGGCGAUCCUGUUGUCAUCGCUGUCAAUUGUAAAAAAAAAACUAUCAAAACGAACAACUCAAUGCCAACGAAUAGCCUGGACAUACACAGGUUUCCAGGAAAUUAAACUAAUUUAUUAUUGCUCUUAAUAUUCAGCUGGCACCAAUAAAAAAAAAUAGACUACAAUAAAUGUCCAUGAAAAGUCUAAAUAGCAUGAUUGAAAGGUUCGCUAAAAAAAAGUGGCAUUUGGAAUGUAAAAAAAAAAAAAACACACAAACUAGUUGGAUCUUUGCAGAACUAGAAAUUCAAACAGAAUUUAUGACAACUUUUACAGCGCAUGCUAAAAAAAAAAAAAAGUAGAAUACUUAGUUAAAAAGUGAAAAAUACUUUUUUUUCCAAAUAAAAAUAAUAGAAUAUGAAAUUAACUCAGGCCAGAAAAUAAUGUUUAAAAACAAAAAAGUAGACUUCACAACAAAAUUCAGUAAUCUAGCUAGCACAUCAAGAGCUAUAGCAGUUUAACACUUCCAUCCAAGUGUUUGACUUAUAAAAAAAUAAAAUUAAAAAGGUAUUUCCGAGAUUUCAGACAUGGUUUCUUGAAAUUUCUGUGCAACAAAAAAAUUCCAAAAUGCAUUGAAAAUAUUUCUCUAACCUAAGGUAAUUUCAUUGCAUUUUCAAAUCAUUCACAAGGUCAGGUACCAAACUAAUUUACAAACACAUAAAACUUAUUUCAUUAUGUACUAAUCAAAUGUUUCAUUAUUUUUAAACCUUUUUUUAAGUUUUUCUUCUACAUGUAAAUUUUUAUUACAUUCUUUCUACAGUGAAACCUUGCUACUACAAUAAAUUACAGAGAGAAAAUAUAUUCUGGUAAUGACUACUGUAAUAGCCUAAUACGUAAUGAUUAAAUAGUUCCUGAAGUUACAUUUCCAUGCCUUCCAAGUUGUAAAGAAAAAAAAUACCAUAAAAUUUGCUACAAAUUUUAUUAUGAACAAGAAAGUCUGUACUGAGUUUGUUGUCUCUCUAAUCCUUUUAAUUUUGUUGGCAAACCUCCACAUGACCACGGCUGCGGUGUUCUCCCUCUAGCAGGUAUUUUGACCAAUCACGUUCAUGCGCUCUCAGCUCUGGGAACAGUUUCAGUAUAAAACAAUGACGACAGCUGUCGUGUCCAUCCUGGUCCCUAGGCCUGCUGUUUCCCUGGCAUGAGUGCAGUGUAACAAAGUGCUUCGAGCGGUGCCGGCGGCCGGUGUGACGAGCCACAGUGUAAUCUGACUGUCUCCCACGCAUCUCGUGCGUCCCGCUCGCCGCGCGCCGGUGCGUGGGAGUCGGUCGUAGCUUGCCUCUCAUCCGCGACGGACGCAUCUGAGUGCCCCUAGCGACUCGUGAGUGGUUCGCCGUUACGACAUGGACCGAACUAAGUGGCGUCUCGAGGGGUCGCUGUUGCCCUGCCCCCUGCUGCAAGCCACGAGGUGAGAACCCGUCCACUCCCCGAGUUCCAGGCUGGCCGGCGCUCUCGUCACGACAGGGGUCGGAGAGGCAGGUGUCGUCAACUAUAAACUCUACAUCUGGACAGUCUCUCCUGCCUGAACCUCUUUGGGAGGGGGGGGGAUGAAGCUGCUGACAACACCCUGAAUGUGAACAGUGGAGGUGGAGCGCCCUCUUCCCCUCCAUACUGUGGCUGUGGACCACCUUUGCCUUAUGCUGCUGCCGCAUUCUCACUUUACUUGAAGCUAAAUGCUGCUUGAAGUUUUAAAAGUUAGAAUAUUAUCUGCACUUAAGAAAACAGCAUCAAGGAAACUCUCUCGUGAAUACAGCAUAAAUUUACGAUUUGUACAGUCAAACUGACAGUGCAUUACAAAACUCUCGUACUUUCACUCGUAUUAGCAAGGUUUCUCCGUAGUUCUUUAGUCUUUUUUUAACACUCAUGAACGCACUCCUAUAAACACAAAUGGCAUCUUCAUCCAGCACACAGACUGCAAGCUUUAUAUCACUCAGCUUUGAAAAGAAAACUCCAAGGGCCCUAUUUGUAGCUGUAACACAGUUUAUAUCAUCGCUGAUAGGUCUUUAUUUAAGAUUCCUUAUGCAACAAGUAAUGAAUCACAUAAACGUACCUUAAAACUCUGGACAGUGAAAUUAGUUACCUACUAUUUGAUACCGACAUACACAUCACUAGAAACACUUUAAUUCUCUUCCACCUGAUGGAUGUGUUUUGAAGGUUGACUAACUGCCCAAGUCAAUGAAAGGAUAGUAAAUUUACACAAGCAAAUAUUUUUAAUUUAUCUAAUGCUGUGACGAAGGAAAAAGCAGUGUAAUAACCCAUUUACUCCUGAGCUAAACACAAAAAAUACUGCUGCACUCUUUGGAACUACAACUGGACAGAAAUUAGUUGCAUUUCUCCUACAGAUAUCAGAAUUUGUAAAAUGUUUUAAAUGAUUUCCUAAAAACAAGGUACAACAAAUUCAAACUAUGCAAUACAACUAAAUACAAGUUUAAACUUAUAUUGAACACCAUAAGGGUAUUAAGGAAGACAGAUGAAGUGAAAUUCAUAUGGAAGUCAGGUUGUAAAUAUAUAAUAUGUAUAGCAAUCAGAGAUUACAUACGCACAAAAUAGGGCCCCUAAAUAAUACUUGUUUGCUCGUGGUGGUAUGGUAGUACAGUGAAACUAAUAUUAAAUUUGUACAAUCAACUAACUCAUCAUAAAAACAUGAUAAAUUUUUAAACAACACUCCCUGCAGUCGUCAUCUGGCUACGCUUUGCAAACAGCAUCAAACACGUCUUAAUAUGAACUUUUCCAAGCCACUUAUUCAACAAAACAAGGUGUUCACUACCCUAAAUAACCACAUUCAAAACAAAGCUACCAACUUUGCAGGACAAUCUCAAAUGUUCCUUGUAGCAGCCUGCUCUCGGAGUGUCUUUACAGUGCACUGCAUGGCAGAUUUCCUUUACUUCUGGGAAAACAAAUGUACACAAUAAAACCAGAUUAGUGCUAAAUUAGUCAGUUAUCGUUGACGAAACGAGCCUUUAGUAACUAUACAGCAUUCAAACAACACUAAGCAAGCAACAAUAAAGAAUUUUUGCAAAGAUAACAUUCAAUAGAAAGCCAGGCACACCAAAUAACAUUUAACAUAGACUUCUGAUGUAAAGGCUACUCCAUUUGUUAUAUUCCGCCAAACAACAAGUUGAAUAAAACACAACAUACACUACUAGAGUUUUAAUAAAAAUGGAAAGGAGCAUUACUUGAUUAUGUUCCAUAUUUUACACAGGACUACAUCCAUGUAUGGUCUGUAUAUGACAACAGUUAUAAAAUUUUUGAAACAGCAACACUUCUGCUUGUUUUAUCACAGAUUAGCACUAGCAACGAAUUUCCUUCUUAUUCUGGGAGACAUUCUAGAGAAUUCAAGAGAAAAAUUCACAACAAUUCAAACUGUGCCAUCACUCUAAGCAAAUUUUAGAUACAACUCCGUACUUUCAGCUAUAGUUCAUAGUAUUACCAUAAAUGUAUGGUAACUUUUUAUCAUCCUAAACUGCAAAAGUUAUUUUACAUAAGUUAACACCUGAUAAACACUUAAAAACACAAACAACAAAUAAUGACUAAAAUUUUAAAACCAUCAAAGCUUAAAAUCAAAAAUAAAUAAAACAAAUAAAAUAUCCUACAUACUCUAUAAAACAAAGAAAAUAAAUUAAAAA